ACUGAGCCACCCAGGCACCUGGAGCAUGAAGCUCUUGACCUCAGGGACAUGAGUUAGAACCCCAUGUUGGGUGUAGGGAUUACUAAAUAAAAACAAAAAACAAAGUAACUCCACUCAGUAAACCGGGAGUUCCAAGUAUAGUAGAGUAGCUUUUCUUUAGCUAAGUUGUGACCAUCUC